AUCCACACUCCCUGCCUUGUCGGUCAUGUCAAGAUUGGCUGCUCAACAUUUCAGGUUGGAUGUGAAAAAGGACAGAGUCUCUGAAAAUGGAAGGUAGAGAAGGACGAAUUUCAAGUCACCCUGAGAUAUAUGAAUUUACACUCUCCUUUCACCUGAUUAGGUGGAAAGCAUUUAACUGUGUAUCUCUAAAGUAAAGUUGUUUUUCAACACCGGACAAGGGCUAGGACCAGAGUACCAAAAAGGUUUGUUAAACUUCAUAGGAAACCUCAUAUUUGUUGGGAGAAAAAAUAGACACAACUUCAUAAUCUUACGAGGCAUAGAUAAUGGUCACUAUUAGUGCUCUACAAUCUUAUGAGAGUCUUAUGUAGGUCAUGAACAUAGCUAGUGAUGCAAGACUUGGAUGCUUGGAUGUUAUAAAGAAAAAGCACUUGAGAAUUAUUAUUGUUCUAGUUACACAUUGUAUUGUAUUUUUAAGGAAUGCAUGUAUUAAGAUUUUUUUUUUAAAGGAAGGAAUAAUCCCAUUGAAAGGCACAAAUCCAAUAGAGUCACAGACAUUGAAAAAUAAUCAGACUUGGAGAGCGAGUGUAAACCAGGCUACCAAAUUUGAGAGACAUUUAAAAAAAUAAAGCAAUACGAACUAGAGAAUUAGUAGCCUGACUACGUUGUGAAAAAAAAGAGAAGCACUUUUAAUAUCUGUACAAUUGUACCAUACUCAAUAAACAUUUUAUCAUUACAUGAGAUAGCUUGCACCAAGCGGAGACAAUCAAAGAACAUUGUAAACCUUAAAUAACCAAGCCUGAGACAAAGAAGAAGAUCUUGCAAUAAAGUCACUGCAUCUGCCAGCCUGAUUAAUCAACACCGCCCCAAGCCCAAUCAUUCAGUCUUGAUUUAUCCACAAAUAUAGAUUGACAUCACUCAACACCAAAUCAGUAUUUGAG